UCAUUUCUUUUCAUUUUUUUUAGAGCGUGGUGUUUUAAAUUCUGAUUAGAAAAGGGAAUCGACAUUCAGUUGAUUUUUUUUAGCUGUAGUGAAGGAAAGCAGAUUUUUUAAUCGUUCUCAAUCUUCCCUAGCAGAGAAAAUGCAUGUCAUUUUAAUUGGAUUUAACUUGAUCUCCUGCCGUUGGAACACUUGUUCUUUGUUAGCAGUCCUACCGUAUAUGGGCUACAUAUGACUGUCCGGGUUCAACAGCGCAUCGAUCACGCAACUACGAACAAGGAUUCAACAAACCAAAAAAACGUUCCUGGAAGUGAAGUGUUUUAAUUUCCUAUUAAGUGUAGUGUAAGUGUAAAUAUUGGGAAAAUAAAGUUUAUUCCAUUGUUAACUUGUUUUGUUUUGAACAUUAAAAAGAAAUAAAAAUACGAAAGUAAAAAUCAACCUCAAUUUCAUUCGGGUAUUAAAAACAUCUCCCGUAGCAUUCACGGCCACAUCGCGUUGAACUUACUUGAAAUUCACGUAAAAUGUAGGUGCGCUCCAUGAAGAACGAAUUCUUAUAGGGACGCGUUUACGUAUUGAUAGCAUUUACGUGAAAAUCAAUUGGAUAAAAACUAUGUAGUUUUUCACGUAGCCGCUACGUGCAGAUUAUUUUGGGUGUAGAAUUAGGUUAAUGUCAUGCUGGGGCGACAAGCGACGCGUUGCAUUCUGUAUUCCAAUAAGAAAGCUAACACGGAGAAAAAAGUAUAGUUUUUCCAACAAUAUUUCACUUAUAUUUAACUAUACAAAAAUUAAUUUGCUAGGAUGCAGAGGUAACCUCGGUCCUAAAGCAUGAAAUAUUAUUCUUUCAAUCCCUUCCUCUCUUUCCCUUCUAUCCAUUGACUACUAGGACGUGGCCGGCGCCGUUAUUGAUGUAUAAAGAGAGAGCAUCAGUUUUGUUCAUUGUGAAUGUGCUGUCAAUCCCAGAUACCAUUCAUUUGACCUCUGGACAAAAUUGAUGGCCUCGGUCAAUCACGGAGUAGCAACCAUUGGCGAUGUGGAAUUAGUUCUACUGAGCCACGCCUGCGAUCAUGGAAUUUGAAAUGCGUUUGCUCUAAUAUCGAUAAAAAUACAUUUAAAGUUUUACGAAGCUUAUAAG